rnacentral:rRNA from 1 species
UACGAAGGGGACUAGCGUUGUUCGGAAUCACUGGGCGUAAAGCGCACGUAGGCGGAUUUGUAAGUCAGGGGUGAAAUCCCGGGGCUCAACCUCGGAACUGCCUUUGAUACUGCGAAUCUUGAGUCCGAUAGAGGUGGGUGGAAUUCCUAGUGUAGAGGUGAAAUUCGUAGAUAUUAGCUAGAACACCAGUGGCGAAGGCGGCCAACUGGUCCGAUACUGACGCUGAGGUGCGAAAGCGUGGGGAGCAAACGGG